AGGUGGGAGAAACCGUGGACAGGUCACCAGCCUAUCACAAGGCUGUCACUUGGAGACAAACCACCACACACACAACCAAUCACCAGUCAACCUAAGCUGCAUGUCUUUGGACUGUGGGAGGAAGCUGGAGUACUCGAUGAGAACCCACACAGCACCAUGUGCAUGCUGGAAGGUGCAGCUUUAAACUUUAAGCUUUAAACAGCCUGGCUGUUUCCCCUUGUAUCCAGUCUUUGUACUAAGCUAGGCUAACAGUCUCAAUGUUCCAUUGCUAUACUUAAUGCAUGUGACAGAUCUUCUCAUCUAACUCACUGCAAGAAGGCCAAUUAGGGCAUUUUCCAAAAUAUCAAAGUUUUAUUUUAAGAUUGCUAUACACAAUAUGAUGCUUACUGCAUAUUUCAUUUCCUUUGAAUUUAUCAGGCGGGAUUAUUACAUGGUCCAUUCUUUGCCUGUCUUUUUAUAAAAGACAUUUAACAACUUUCAAAAAAGUAGAUGCUUGUCCCAUUAAAUUCGGUCAUAUCGCUCUGAUUCUCAGUCAUCUCCAGUUGCUGCCUGUUAAUUACAGAAUUGCAGAAUUGAAUUAAAGAUCCUGCUUCUGGUCUGUGAAGCGCCUAAAUGUCUGGCUCUAGAUUACAUAUCUGACAUGCUUCCAGUUUAUCAACCUAACAGAUUUGCCAGGUCACUGGACAGAUGUCUCCUUCAAAUUCCCAGAGCUCAUUCUAAAUCUGGCGACAGAGGAAUCAGUGAUUAUGCACCUCAAGCCCAGAACAGCCUGCCUGCUUAUUUGAGGAGCCAUUUGGAGCCAUCUAUUGCUCCCCGGUUGGAUGGAAGCAUUUCCUCCUUGGGAGAAGUGUGAUCAUGAUGAAAGCGUAACAACAUGGCAGUCGUGGGAAUCAUAUUUUACAGAUGCAGGCGAGUGUCAAGAUUAAUGGCCGACAUCAACAUUGGCUCCCUGAGGGAAACAAAGGCAUUUUAGAUCAGCUUGUGUCCACCAUGCCCACGGAUCAAUGAUCGUUUACUGUAGGAGACGGGCCUCAAGCUGGAAUAACUGCCGCCAUCAUGGACCUGUAGUGGCUGUUGAGACAACGUAAGUAACAUUGGGCUAUUCACAGAAAAGAAUUAGUGACAGAAUAUUUUUCCUCUUGUCAGUGAAUCCCAUGAAAAGACCAAAAGCACCAGUGAAUUGACUGUAUUGCUAUGUAACCAAAAUCGGAUACAGCUGCGUUCUCUGAUCCAUAGACGUCCAAAAACACAUCAGCCAUGAGCCCAUUUGAAAAUCUGCUCUGUAGGAACCAGUAGUUUGGGGGCUGAGUGUCACAAGUUAAGUGUUUCA